rnacentral:rRNA from 1 species
UACGGAAGGCAGCAGUGGGGAAUAUUGCACAAUGGGCGAAAGCCUGAUGCAGCUAUGCCGCGUGUAUGAAGAAGGCCUUAGGGUUGUAAAGUACUUUCAUCGGGGAGGAAAAAACAAAACUAAUAAUUUUAUUUCUUGACGUUACCCGAAAAAGAAGCACCGGCUAACUCCGUGCCAGCAGCCGCGGUAAUACGGAGGGUGCUAGCGUUAAUCAGAAUUACUGGGCGUAAAGAGCACGUAGGUGGUUUUUUUAAAGUCAGAUGUGAAAUCCCCUGGGCUUAACCUAGGAACUGCAUUUUUGAAACUGAAAUACUAGAGUAUCGUAGAGGGAGGUAGAAUUCUAGGUGUAGCGGUGAAAUGCGUAGAUAUCUGGAGGAAUACCUGUGGCGAAAGCGGCCUCCUAAACGAAUACUGACACUGAGGUGCGAAAGCGUGGGGAGCAAACAGGGAUUAGAUACCCGU